GACGACCAUAGCAAGGUGGCCCACUCCUUCCCAUCCCGAACAGGACAGUGAAACGCCUUCGCGCCGAUGAUAGUGGACGUACGUCUGUGAAAGUAGGUCAUCGUCAGGC
rnacentral:rRNA from 1 species